GGACCCGCACAAGCGGUGGAGUAUGUGGUUUAAUUCGAUGCAACGCGAAGAACCUUACCAGGGUUUGACAUCCUGCGAAUCUCUUGGAAACGAGAGAGUGCCUUCGGGAGCGCAGUGACAGGUGGUGCAUGGCUGUCGUCAGCUCGUGUCGUGAGAUGUUGGGUUAAGUCCCGCAACGAGCGCAACCCUUGUCCUUUAGUUACCAGCGGGUUAAGCCGGAACUCUAAGGAUACUGCCAGUGACAAACUGGAGGAAGGCGGGGACGACGUCAAGUCAUCAUGGCCCUUACGGACCAGGGCUACACACGUGCUACAAUGGUAGGUACAGAGGGCAGCUACACAGCGAUGUGAUGC
rnacentral:rRNA from 1 species